rnacentral:rRNA from 1 species
GACGAACGCUGGCGGCGUGCUUAACACAUGCAAGUCGAACGGAAAGACCCUGCUUUUGUGGGGUGCUCGAGUGGCGAACGGGUGAGUAACACGUGAGUAACCUGCCCUUGACUUUGGGAUAACUUCAGGAAACUGGGGCUAAUACCGGAUAGGAGCUCCUGCUGCAUGGUGGGGGUUGGAAAGUUUCGGCGGUUGGGGAUGGACUCGCGGCUUAUCAGCUUGUUGGUGGGGUAGUGGCUUACCAAGGCUUUGACGGGUAGCCGGCCUAGAGGGUGACCGGCCACAUUGGGACUGAGAUACGGCCCAGACUCCUACGGGAGGCAGCAGUGGGGAAUAUUGCACAAUGGGCGGAAGCCUGAUGCAGCAACGCCGCGUGCGGGAUGACGGCCUUCGGGUUGUAAACCGCUUUCGCCUGUGACGAAGCGUGAGUGACGGUAAUGGGUAAAGAAGCACCGGCUAACUACGUG